AUCUGGGCGACGGUAUUCAGGAUGGCUGGCGCGCCUCGCGGUGCGUCGGUCGUUUGAUAUUUCCGUCGCCGAUCAACCGCAGACGUCGCGACCUGUUCGCGGUCGGUCCUUGCUCGGAGGAGCCGCGAUCGAGUUCGUUGCGUGCGCGUUUCGGCGUGUCACGCGGCGAAGACGCGGAUCUCUGGCUGGCCGUCGGACAGUAUGCUUAACGGUGUCCGGUGUCGUCGUCUCGUACGCGCGUGCACCGGUACCGGUCAGCGACGAAUUCUUCGGGCCUCUUUCCGACCCGUCUUGAAACACGGACCAAGGAGUCUAACAUGCGCGCGAGUCGCGGGGUGUCGAGCGUACCUCGGUACGUUCGUUACGUUGCGAAACCCGUACAUGUCGAAGGCGUAAUGAAAGUGAAUGGGGAAGAUGGUGUUCCGAGUACACGUUCCGUGAUCGUUGGCAUUGCGGCCGGACACCCGCAUUCCCAGGGCGUCUCAACGGCCCGUCGCUGAUGCGGACAGUCGUCUCUCGGGGCGGCUGUCGGUCGGCGACGAACCGA
rnacentral:rRNA from 1 species